rnacentral:lncRNA from 1 species
GCAACCAUCAGGGGCUAAGAAGACCAGAGAAGAGCCAUGUCUAGAAGGGGUCAGUUCCAUUGAAGCUGGAUCCACAAGGAGAAGAGAGUCUCAAUUGAUCAACUGCCCACUCGAAGUGUUUAUCACAGCAACAGGGAAGUAAGCCAGAUCCUGUGACGUCAUCCAGACAGUGAACCCACAGAAAGUUCUGUGAACCAUCAAGACCCCUGAGACAGAGAGCAGGAGAAUCAACCCAACCCUGGAACAGGACACUGAUCAUUUCCUCAUGCCAGUCCUGUUAAUACAAACUGUAAAACCCUCCAACUUGGACUGGGGAGAAGGCUCGGGGUAAGACAUUAUGAAUAAGGAGAAGGAAUACCGC